GACGAACGCUGGCGGCGUGCUUAACACAUGCAAGUCGAGCGGAGCGGCGAACGGGUGAGUAACGCGUGAGUAACUGCCCCCCCCUCUGGGAUAACAGAUGGAAACGGCUGCUAAUCCCGGACAGUGGGGGAUGUAGGGCGGCCUAUCAGCUUGUUGGUGGGGUAGUGGCCGACCAAGGCGACGAGGGGUAGCCGGCCUGGGAGGGCGACCGGCCACAUGGGUCUCAGGUACGACCCAGACGCCUACGGGAGGCAACAGGGGGGAAUAUUACGCAAUGAGGGAAAGCGUGAUGAGGCAUCGCCGCGUGCGGAAAGACGGCCUUGGGGUUGUAAACCGCUUUCAGCCAUGACGCGGUAUUGGCAGAAGAAGCACCGGCUAACUACGUGCCAGCAGUCGCGGUAAUUC
rnacentral:rRNA from 1 species